GCUGCUGCUGCUGAAUGCGAAUGCAUUUGGACAAAGUGUUUGUGAGAAUGUCUAUCUGGAUUCAAGUCAAAGCAAACGACUACCAAUCGAAAAUUCUUUUUUUUUCUCUCUCAAUUUUUUCCUCUAUAUCGUUGCGCCAUUCAUUCGUAAAUAAUUGUACGUAAUGCUAUUCGUUAUUCGAAUGUUGUCUUUUUUCCUCUAUCGUCUCAUUGUUUCUUCGUUGCAACUUUGAGCGCUCGAGCAAAAUGUGUGAAAUUCGAAUAAUGCAGAGUCUCAUGGCACUUGAGAUCCUGUUUCAUUUUCGCUUGCAUACACACACAGACACAGACCCAGACACAAACGCUCUUUGUUAUCACAGUCAUCAAAGUCUUUUGAGACAAACUAUCCACAUAAUAAAAGUGAAACGUGACGAAAAGUGUAUGGCUGUAUGUGUAUUUUGAGUUUCGAUAUUGCAACACAAAGUGCCAUUUUAUUGACGCACACUUUCGACAACUAAUUCAAUAAAUUCAAUAAAUCUUAUCAGCAGCACAAACCAAAUCGAAAUGCCCGAACGUUGGCGUACAGUUGUGUGUGUGUGCCUGUGCACACAAUAUGCAACAUGGCAAAUUUGCAUUUUAUGAAUUUUUCACGCUUUAUUGCAAAUUUUAUUUGAAUAUUUUAUUAAUUCCUUUUGAUAUUCAAUUCGUCUUCUCAAAGAGACCGAAACAGCUUUUGUGGCCAAGAUUAUUUCUGUUUUAUUGGAAACGAUUUCAAAUUUUUAUUAUCGUGUUGCUUUGGUCUUGUGUUGUGUCGAAUCGCAGGUAUUUAAAAUGAAAUCAAAAUCGAAUUCCAAUGUUUUGUCUUCGGUUGUGUUUAUCCCGCAGGCAGCCAGUCACUUUGAAGGAUACGGAAUUUAUUUUGUAAGAAUGCAAGUCACCACAGAGGCAAAUCGCCAUUGAAUCUUUGUUUUCGAAACUGGCACCAGACCUAUUUGUGUUAUGUUUCAAAGGAGCGAAACUGUUGACCAUUCAGAUCUUUAUCACUCUGGAGGAAAUUCAAUUAAUCUUUUCACCAUUGAAACUACUGAACGCAUCAAUCGUCUCUCUAAUAUCAGAUGUCUGAAGAUUCAUAUUGCUGUGGCAUAUUGCACGGAUGGAAUGACCAACAUUUGGCAAGUAAAAGACGAUUCCAGUGAAACAAAACAAAAGACGCAUUCAAUUUGCUU